UUCCCCCCCGGAUUUUUUUUUGUUAAGAGACGUCGCGGGCCCUUUUUUGUAUGUGAAAUGUGGGGAAAAAAAUAAGAAGAGGUUUUUAUGGUGGGAGGAUAUUUUAAUAAGAAAGGAAAUCCUGUGUGCGGGAAUGCUAGAAUCUUGAGGAAAAAAUCGCGAAGGGGAUUCUGUUUUUUUUGACGUGAGUGGAAAGGAGGGGGGGGAAAAGAUUAGAUAUCCUGGUUUGCACGCCCUAACAUUAUAUUAUUUUUGGGGGGGGCCCGGCCCCGCCCCC
rnacentral:rRNA from 1 species